rnacentral:miRNA from 1 species
UCUGCCAAAACGCUCUCUUUUG